rnacentral:piRNA from 1 species
GAAGUGAAACAACCAGUUCCUGCCUUAACUGA